rnacentral:rRNA from 1 species
UACAGAGGGUGCGAGCGUUAAUCGGAAUUACUGGGCGUAAAGCGCACGUAGUCGGCUUCUUAAGUCAGGGGUGAAAUCCUGGAGCUCAACUCCAGAACUGCCUUUGAUACUGAGGAGCUUGAGUCCGGGAGAGGUGAGUGGAACUGCGAGUGUAGAGGUGAAAUUCGUAGAUAUUCGCAAGAACACCAGUGGCGAAGGCGGCGACCUGGGCCAAUAUUGACGCUGAGGUGCGAAAGCGUGGGGAGCAAACAGG